rnacentral:rRNA from 1 species
UACGUAGGGCGCAAGCGUUGUCCGGAAUUAUUGGGCGUAAAGAGCUCGUAGGUGGCUUGUCGCGUCUGCCGUGAAAGCCCGUGGCUUAACUACGGGUCUGCGGUGGAUACGGGCAGGCUAGAGGCUGGUAGGGGCAAGCGGAAUUCCUGGUGUAGCGGUGAGAUGCGCAGAUAUCAGGAGGAACACCGGUGGCGAAGGCGGCUUGCUGGGCCAGUUCUGACGCUGAGGAGCGAAAGCGUGGGGAGCGAACAGG